AGUGAACGCUGGCGGUAGGCCUAACACAUGCAAGUCGAACGGCAGCACAGUGAGAGCUUGCUCUUACGGGUGGCGAGUGGCGGACGGGUGAGGAAUACAUCGGAAUCUACUUUUUCGUGGGGGAUAACGUAGGGAAACUUACGCUAAUACCGCAUACGACCUACGGGUGAAAGCAGGGGAUCUUCGGACCUUGCGCGAUUGAAUGAGCCGAUGUCGGAUUAGCUAGUUGGCGGGGUAAAGGCCCACCAAGGCGACGAUCCGUAGCUGGUCUGAGAGGAUGAUCAGCCACACUGGAACUGAGACACGGUCCAGACUCCUACGGGAGGCAGCAGUGGGGAAUAUUGGACAAUGGGCGCAAGCCUGAUCCAGCCAUACCGCGUGGGUGAAGAAGGCCUUCGGGUUGUAAAGCCCUUUUGUUGGGAAAGAAAAGCAGCAGGUUAAUACCCCGCUGUUCUGACGGUACCCAAAGAAUAAGCACCGGCUAACUUCGCG
rnacentral:rRNA from 1 species